AUUUAAAUAGUUUAUUAUUAAAAUAUAAUAUUGAAGAUAUUAUGAAGAUUUUUAAUCUUUAAAUU
rnacentral:tRNA from 1 species